AAAACGUGUGUGAGGUAUUUUGGACCAUUCGAAAUAUUGAAGAAGGUACUGAUCUCCAUGAAAAGCGGAAUGAUACAAGACAGACACUCACUGAUUAUGAAAUUGAUCUACCUCGUGACAUAUUCACUAAACUAGAGGACAAAGUAAAAACUACCAGAUCGGUCGAUAUUCUAAAUAUGAUAGUCGUUCAGUUAACCUUUUAUGAGGAAAUUUUUAACCUCAGACAAGAAACUGUCCCCUGUGAAUGUCAACGGCUAUUAAAAGCAUGGUUAGAUCGACUAGAAACAUGGGUGUUUUUAAGGCGAGGCAGAUAUGCAAGGCAAGAACAUAAUGAAUUUUACCUAGAAAUACGACGACUGCAACUUACACUUGAUAUUCAUAAAUUUAAAACAGAACUCUACGAACGCGAUGAAGGACUCGCAUUCCCUGAUAAUACUCAAAAUUACUUGCUUAAACUUGAAUCUAUUGGAGUCGUGGAAGAAGAAUAAUUAUCUAAAAUGAGAAAGGAAACAGAAGAAGUCUCUUCUAGAAUGAUUGGUCUUACACUUAAAGAGAAGCAAAUAAUAAAACGAGCCAUGGAGAAUGAAUUUAUGGGAUCGGGAUAUUGGUACAAAUGUAAAAAAGGGCAUUAUUAUUCUAUAGGAGAAUGUGGUAUGCUUAUGGAGAAAAUAAAAUGUCCGCAGUGUGGUUUGGCAAUAGGAGGUGCUGAUCAUAUUCUAACUGAUGACAAUGAGAGAGCUAUGAAUUUUGAAAAUCUUUAAAAUAUUCCAUUGAGUUAUAUUCUUUUCUCGUAAUUAUCAGUUCAUUAUGCAUAUUUUUUAAUGAGGUAGAGUGUACAUAUUAUAAGCUCUAUGAACAAAUAUUUAUUCGCACGGCCAGUUGUUCUGCUUUCAUAAUCAACAAUGACGUCAAAAUCAUAUGAAAAGUACGUAGAAGUCAUAAGGUAUUAGUCUUAAGCUAGCUGGAGUAGUCAAUCGGAAAGCGUUUGUUUUUGGAAUAUCUGGAGUAUUUGAUUUUUUUUUUUGGUGGACAGGGAAAUAUGGUAAGAGUCUGUUAACUUCCAGAAAAACCAUGAUGUCUUAUUUCGUGCUUUUUUAUACAUCUAGCAUCCAUCUUUAGCUUAUCUUUUGCAGAAAUGUAUAUGCAUAUAAUUUUCAUUUUUAAAAUAAAAUGAAGAAAAUAUUAUGCAAUCUGCCUGGAGAUAUCAUUUAAAAUUAUUGAAUUCUGACUUUGAUGGGAGUUCCCUGACACUAUCAGAAAGAAUUCCUAAAGGACAGUACAGCAGAAUGUACAUUAUGAUAUGAAGUUAAUGUCAAUGGAACAGCAGCCUUAGGAUACAUCAAUACAUCAAAAAAGAUCAACAUACUGUUAUCAACCGUUAUGUAUAUUAACAGCAAAUAAGAAUCACAUAUCGUUUUUUUUUUUCAUUUAUAUAUAAGAGGUUUAUUAGGUUAUGAUUUAUUGUACUAAACUGCAUGUAUAAAAUAAUGAUUUUUUUUAUGUCUUCCUGACGCAUUUGUUAUAAUUUUAUACAUUUUACACCAAAUCAAAAUGUAUGACAUGAAUAGCAAUGGUUCAUUUGAUAUGUAUUUUUUUCACACAAUAAUAUAUUUGUAUAAUAUCAUAUCAUAGACCAAAAUCCACGUUUGCAAUGUUUCAUUUUCUGUUUUUAGUCAUAUUGGUAUGCAUGAUAAGUUUAAUAAUAAGUAUUUUUACAGAGAACAAACAACAAUAAAAAAAACAAAAUUUUAAGUCUAUUAAAUAAAGAUAUACCAAUCCAACUAAAUUAACCUUUUUUAGGAUAGAUUGCAAUCCUACUGUAAUCACACAAAGAUCCCAUGUUUCGUUUUGGUCUUGCUAAUUUACUACUAGUUAUGCCUGAAUUCGUUUCAUCUAGACAGCAGUUUACAUAUCAUGCCCAACAUAACCAUACAUGUUUGCAUUAUUUACAUGAAUCUAUGUAAUCAUCUUGACUCUCUCAACUUAACCGAAUUGUUUAUUAUCAAAACCUCCUUUUUUAGGGUUAACUCUUUUGCUUCAUACUUAAUUAUAUUAUCAAACGACUUUAAUUUGUUUAUUGAGUUAAUUAAUUGUUUCAAAAUUGUAACAUGUUUAUAACGUUUAUGUCAGUAUCAUGCUUUUAUUCUAUAAAAAAUCAUAUUUCCUAUACAAAGACACUUUAUUAUGGUUUUUUUACCAAAUAAGGAAGAGAAUGAACGAUAACAUUAAUUAUCAAAGUAAUCAAGUACGUAUGUAAUUAUUUUGAUUGUGUAACUUAAUGAGCAGGAAUUAAAAAUCGAACAUUA